UACGGGGGGGGCAAGCGUUGUUCGGAAUUACUGGGUGUAAAGGGCUCGUAGGCGGCCAACUAAGUCAGAUGUGAAAUCCCCAGGCUUAACCUGGGAACUGCAUCUGAUACUGGAUGGCUUGAAUCCGGGAGAGGGAUGCAGAAUUCCAGGUGUAGCGGUGAAAUGCGUAGAUAUCUGGAGGAAUACCGGUGGCGAAGGCGGCAUCCUGGACCGGCAUUGACGCUGAGGCGCGAAAGCCAGGGGAGCAAACGGG
rnacentral:rRNA from 1 species